UACGUAGGUGGCAAGCGUUGUCCGGAUUUACUGGGCGUAAAGAGCGCGCAGGCGGUCGGAUCAGUCGAAUGUGAAAGCCCCCCGGCUCAACUGGGGGGGGGUCAUUCGAUACUGUCCGACUCGAAGGCAGGAGAGGGAAGCGGAAUUCCCGGUGUAGUGGUGAAAUGCGUAGAUAUCGGGAGGAACACCAGUGGCGAAGGCGCUUUCUGGCCUGUUCUUGACGCUGAGGCGCGAAAGCUAGGGGAGCGAACGGGGAGUUAAGAUACC
rnacentral:rRNA from 1 species